rnacentral:rRNA from 1 species
CAGCAGCCGCGGUAAUACGUAGGGNGAGAGCGUUAAUCGGAAUUACUGGGCGUAAAGCGUGCGUAGGCGGNGAGUCAAGUCUGCUGUGAAAGCCCCGGGCUCAACCUGGGAAUGGCAGUGGAAACUGGCUCGCUGGAGUAUGGCAGAGGGGGGUGGAAUUCCGCGUGUAGCAGUGAAAUGCGUAGAGAUGCGGAGGAACACCGAUGGCGAAGGCAGCCCCCUGGGCCAAUACUGACGCUCAGGCACGAAAGCGUGGGGAGCAAACAGGAUUAGAUACCCUGGUAGUCCACGCCCUAAACGAUGUCAACUGGGUGUUGGGGAAGCGAUUCCUUGGUACCGUAGCUAACGCGUGAAGUUGACCGCCUGGGGAGUACGGCCGCAAGGUUAAAACUCAAAGGAAUUGACGG